rnacentral:rRNA from 1 species
UACGAAGGGGGCUAGCGUUGCUCGGAAUCACUGGGCGUAAAGGGCGCGUAGGCGGCCGAUUAAGUCGGGGGUGAAAGCCUGUGGCUCAACCACAGAAUUGCCUUCGAUACUGGUUGGCUUGAGACCGGAAGAGGACAGCGGAACUGCGGGUGUAGAGGUGAAAUUCGUAGAUAUUCGCAAGAACACCAGUGGCGAAGGCGGCUGUCUGGUCCGGUUCUGACGCUGAGGCGCGAAAAGCGUGGGGAGCAAACAGG